UUAUUUUGAGUGGGUUAUGUAAACGGUGUUAUUCAGCAUGUAACCUUUUUUUUCAUCCAUUAUCCUUCCCUCGCAUUUCACCCUCGUUGGUGCAUAUAUCAAUACUGCGUUCCUUUUAUUGCUGAGUACUCUCCUUUGGCAUGGAUAUGCCACAGUUUGUUGAUCCAUUCACCCACCGAAGGACAACUGGAUAGGUCCCAGUUUGGGGCUCUUAUGAAUAAAGCUGUAAUGAACCAUCAUGUACAAGUUUCGGCAUGAACAUAAAUUUUCAAUUCUCUGUGGUAAAUGCCCAGGAGUGCAGUUGCUGAAUCAUAUGAUCUUCACGUGACCAGUGAUGCCCAGACAAAUCCCAUGCAGAGGGUCUCACUACCGCACCUUCUGGACAGCCUGCAGUGGACGGUCUCUUCAGCCUUCUCUGCCGACAGCCACCUUGUUCGUGGUCAUGCGACUUCCUGGGUAUAGCUCAAUAGAGGACAGAAGCGAUGCCACCAGCUGACAACAAAACGGGAGGAGAAGAAGUCGGAGGUUUGAAGAGACGGAAGACAUGAACUGGCCGCCUGGGAACAUGACAAAAUGAUGGAACCAAGAUGAGUGCCAGGCAACAUCAAGGACUAUGUGAGGCAUCAUUAAGGGAAAAUAAAGGAGGCUCCAAUGCAAGGAGGCGGGUCUGGAACUCAUGAGCACAACAAGCAGACUGAGGGUUGUUGCCGCGGGUAGGAGACCCGAGGAGCAGGAUGCAGCAGCCACAGGAGCCACUUCAAUACCACGCAAUCAGGAAUGGACCUGCGUGAAUGGACCACAGCUUGUGGCCACUCCUUCUCCAUGGUUCGUGAAGGACUGGCUGCAGUAACACUCGAGUGGGCACAUAGGUCUUUCUCCCAAUCUCCAUGGCACCUUUAGAGAAGCAGUGAGUGUAGUGUGCGUGAGGGCUGGGAAGGGGGGCACUACAGCAAAUUAGAGGCUCACUCCCGAGGAGACCAGGCAGGAAGAAAGGACAUGCCUUUUCCAUUAGCAUCAGGACCCCGCGGCACAGCUGCUAGCUGACCACUGAAUUCACACUGCCUCGCAGCCCACAAGCAGCUGCAUGGCCAGGGACCACAGUUCCCUUUGCACCAACGUGUGGCCGUCAGAAUGACUGUCACGGGAACAGGAAGACAAGGGAGCUAUGUGACUUCCAGGCCAGAAUUCUUUUUUUUUUAAAUCAUACACUCAGCGCUCAUAUUUUAAUAUCCC